rnacentral:misc_RNA from 1 species
GAUGAAGAACGCAGCGAAAUGCGAUAAGUAAUGUGAAUUGCAGAAUUCAGUGAAUCAUCGAGUCUUUGAACGCACAUUGCGCCCCCCGGUAUUCCGGGGGGCAUGCCUGUCCGAGCGUCAUUGCUGCCCUCAAGCACGGCUUGUGUGUUGGGCCCCGCCCCCCGGCUCCCGGGGGGCGGGCCCGAAAGGCAGCGGCGGCACCGCGUCCGGUCCUCGAGCGUAUGGGGCUUCGUCACCCGCUCCGUAGGCCCGGCCGGCGCCCGCCGGCGACCCCCCUCAAUCUUUUCAGGUUGACCUCGGAUCAGGUAGGGAUACCCGCUGAACUUAAGCAUAUCAAUAAGCGGAGGA